GCGGAGGAAAAGAAACCAACAGGGAUUGCCCUAGUAACGGCGAGUGAAGCGGCAACAGCUCAAAUUUGAAAUCUGGCCUUCGGGUCCGAGUUGUAAUUUGUAGAGGAUGCUUUUGGUCCGGUGCCUUCCGAGUUCCUUGGAACAGGACGCCUUAGAGGGUGAGAGCCCCGUACGGUUGGACACCAAGCCUCUGUAAAGCUCCUUCGACGAGUCGAGUAGUUUGGGAAUGCUGCUCUAAAUGGGAGGUAAAUUUCUUCUAAAGCUAAAUACCGGCCAGAGACCGAUAGCGCACAAGUAGAGUGAUCGAAAGAUGAAAAGUACUUUGAAAAGAGGGUUAAAUAGCACGUGAAAUUGUUGAAAGGGAAGCGUUUAUGACCAGACCUUCGUCGGGCGGAUCAUCCGGUGUUCUUCACCGGUGCACUUCGCCCGGCUUAGGCCAGCAUCGGUUUUCGCAGGGGGACAAAGGUCCCGGGAACGUAGCUCCCUCCGGGGAGUGUUAUAGCCCGGGACGUAAUACCCUUGCGGGGACCGAGGUUCGCGCUCCGGCAAGGAUGCUGGCGUAAUGGUCAUCAACGACCCGUCUUGAAACACGGACCAAGGAGUCGAACAUUUAUGCGAGUGUUUGGGUGUUAAACCCUCACGCGUAAUGAAAGUGAACGGAGGUGAGAGCCCGUACGGGUGCAUCAUCGACCGAUCCUGAUGUCUUCGGAUGGAUUUGAGUAAGAGCAUAACUGUUCGGACCCGAAAGAUGGUGAACUAUGCGUGGAUAGGGUGAAGCCAGAGGAAACUCUGGUGGAGGCUCGCAGCGGUUCUGACGUGCAAAUCGAUCGUCAAAUCUGCGCAU
rnacentral:sRNA from 1 species